AAUGUUUGUGAGACAAAAAUGAAUAAAUACAUUUCAUAAAAAGGCUACCUUAGAAGUCACCAUAUAUGCCUUAAGAGAAGAAAACUUUCAGAGAGGUAAAAAAUGAUUUUUUAUAUUGUAUUUGAAAAAUAAUGACCUCAACAAUAUUUAAGUGAUCUUUAAGAUUUGUUGUUUCCAUGGCAGCAGUUUUGUGGGGGCAUCUUUUUUCCCCAAAUGCUGAUUUGUUAAUGGUUUAAGCGCGUUGAAAUAGAGCCUUUCAGGAAAAAAAUACUGUGUGAUCACAGAUGGUGAGUUAAUUAUCAUGAGGUUGGUGGAUAAAAUCAACUUUCUAUGACAAAAUGGUUCAUAACUCCAAGUGAACAAGCACGGCUUUCUAAGACAAAUUUCUAACAAAUGUAGCUUUUUGCAAUGAACAAUCAUAAACUCUGUGUAUCUCUGGUGUAAACAUGUCACUUCAGUGACAGUUCACUCUCU
rnacentral:lncRNA from 10 species